GGGUGGUAAUGCCGGAUGCUCCAUCACACCGCAUGGUGUGUUGGGAAAGCCUUUGCGGCAUGGGAUGGGGUCGCGUCCUAUCAGCUUGAUGGCGGGGUAACGGCCCACCAUGGCUUCGACGGGUAGCCGGCCUGAGAGGGCGACCGGCCACAUUGGGACUGAGAUACGGCCCAGACUCCUACGGGAGGCAGCAGUGGGGAAUAUUGCACAAUGGGCGCAAGCCUGAUGCAGCGACGCCGCGUGAGGGAUGGAGGCCUUCGGGUUGUAAACCUCUUUUGUUAGGGAGCAAGGCACUUCGUGUUGAGUGUAUCUGUGGAAUAACCGCCGGCUAACU
rnacentral:rRNA from 1 species